AACGAACGCUGGCGGCAUGCUUAACACAUGCAAGUCGAACGUGAAGGGGACUUCGGUCCCUGGAAAGUGGCGCACGGGUGAGUAACACGUGGAUAAUCUACCCGAUGAUCUGGAAUAACACUUCGAAAGGGGUGCUAAUACAGGAUAAGCUCACGACGUCUUCGGACGACGCGGGAAAAGGGGGCUUCGGCUCCCGUCAUCGGGUGAGUCCGCGGCCCAUUAGCUAGUUGGUAGGGUAAUGGCCUACCAAGGCUACGAUGGGUAGCUGGGCUGGUAGGAUGAUCGGUCACACUGGAACGGAGAGACGGACCAGACUCCUACGGGAGGCAGCAGUGGGGAAGUGUGCGCAAUGGUGGAAAGCCUGACGUAGCAAUGCCGCGUAAGUGAUGAAGGCCUUCGGGUCGUAAAGCUCUGUCAGAGGGGAAUAAACUCCCGUCGGUUAAUACCCGGCGAGCCUGACGGUACCCUCAAAGUAAGCACCUGCUAACUCCGUGCCAGCCGCCGCGGUAA
rnacentral:rRNA from 1 species